AAGUAGCAAAUACUUAGUGGCAGACGGGUGAGUAACAUGUAGGUAUCUGCCCUUUGGCCUGGAAUAACACGAGGAAACUUGUGCUAAUACCGGAUAAGUCUUUACGGAGAAAGCUUUAUGCACCAUUGGAUGAGCCUGCACUUGAUUAGUUUGUUGGUGGGGUAAUGGCCUACCAAGACUGUGAUCAAUAGCUGAUUUGAGAGGAUGAUCAGCCACAUUGGGACUGAGACACGGCCCAAACUCCUACGGGAGGCAGCAGUGGGGAAUCUUGCACAAUGGAGGAAACUCUGAUGCAGCGAUGCCGCGUGAGUGAAGAAGGCCUUUGGGUUGUAAAGCUCUUUCGUCGGGGAAGAAAAUGACUGUACCCGAAUAAGAAGGUCCGGCUAACUUCGUGCCAGCAGCCGCGGUAAUACGAAGGGACCUAGCGUAGUUCGGAAUUACUGGGCUUAAAGAGUUCGUAGGUGGUUGAAAAAGUUGGUGGUGAAAUCCCAGAGCUUAACUCUGGAACUGCCAUCAAGACUUUUCAGCUAGAGUAUGAUAGAGGAAAGCAGAAUUUCUAGUGUAGAGGUGAAAUUCGUAGAUAUUAGAAAGAAUACCAAUUGCGAAGGCAGCUUUCUGGAUCAUUACUGACACUGAGGAACGAAAGCAUGGGUAGCGAAGAGGAUUAGAUACCCUCGUAGUCCAUGCCGUAAACGAUGUGUGUUAGACGUUGGAAAUUUAUUUUCAGUGUCGCAGCGAAAGCGAUAAACACACCGCCUGGGGGAGUACGACCGCAAGGUUAAAACUCAAAUGAAUUGACGGGGACCCGCACAAGUAGUGGAGCAUGUGGUUUAAUUCGAAGAUACGCGCAGAACCUUACCAACACUUGACAUGUUCGUCGCGACUCUAAGAGAUUAGAGUUUUCGGUUCGGCCGGACGAAACACAGGUGCUGCAUGGCUGUCGUCAGCUCGUGUCGUGAGAUGU
rnacentral:rRNA from 1 species